UACUGGGCGUAAAGCGCACGCAGGCGGUCUGUCAAGUCGGAUGUGAAAUCCCCGGGCUCAACCUGGGAACUGCAUUCGAAACUGGCAGGCUAGAGUCUUGUAGAGGGGGGUAGAAUUCCAGGUGUAGCGGUGAAAUGCGUAGAGAUCUGGAGGAAUACCGGUGGCGAAGGCGGCCCCCUGGACAAAGACUGACGCUCAGGUGCGAAAGCGUGGGGAGCAAACAGGAUUAGAUACCCUGGUAGUCCACGCCGUAAACGAUGUCGAUUUGGAGGUUGUGCCCUUGAGGCGUGGCUUCCGGAGCUAACGCGUUAAAUCGACCGCCUGGGGAGUACGGCCGCAAGGUUAAAACUCAAAUGAAUUGACGGGGGCCCGCACAAGCGGUGGAGCAUGUGGUUUAAUUCGAUGCAACGCGAAGAACCUUACCUGGUCUUGACAUCCACAGAACUUUCCAGAGAUGGAUUGGUGCCUUCGGGAACUGUGAGACAGGUGCUGCAUGGCUGUCGUCAGCUCGUGUUGUGAAAUGUUGGGUUAAGUCCCGCAACGAGCGCAACCCUUAUCCUUUGUUGCCAGCGGUUAGGCCGGGAACUCAAAGGAGACUGCCAGUGAUAAACUGGAGGAAGGUGGGGAUGACGUCAAGUCAUCAUGGCCCUUACGACCAGGGCUACACACGUGCUACAAUGGCAUAUACAAAGAGAAGCGACCUCGCGAGAGCAAGCGGACCUCAUAAAGUAUGUCGUAGUCCGGAUUGGAGUCUGCAACUCGACUCCAUGAAGUCGGAAUCGCUAGUAAUCGUAGAUCAGAAUGCUACGGUGAAUACGUUCCCGGGCCUUGUACACACCGCCCGUCACACCAUGGGAGUGGGUUGCAAAAGAAGUAGGUAGCUUAACCUUCGGGAGGGCGCUUACCACUUUGUGAUUCAUGACUGGGGUGAAGUCGUAACAAGGUAACCGUAGGGGAACCUGCGGUUGGAUCACCUCCUUACCUUAAAGAA
rnacentral:rRNA from 1 species